CGCGUGAGGAACCUGCCUCAAAGAGGGGGACAACAGUUGGAAACGACUGCUAAUACCGCAUAAGCCCACGGCUCGGCAUCGAGCAGAGGGAAAAGGAGCAAUCCGCUUUGAGAUGGCCUCGCGUCCGAUUAGCUAGUUGGUGAGGUAAUGGCCCACCAAGGCGACGAUCGGUAGCCGGACUGAGAGGUUGAACGGCCACAUUGGGACUGAGACACGGCCCAGACUCCUACGGGAGGCAGCAGUGGGGAAUAUUGCACAAUGGGGGAAACCCUGAUGCAGCGACGCCGCGUGGAGGAAGAAGGUCUUCGGAUUGUAAACUCCUGUUGUUGAGGAAGAUAAUGACGGUACUCAACAAGGAAGUGACGGCUAACUACGUGCCAGCAGCCGCGGUAAACGUAGGUCACAAGCGUUGUCCGGAAUUACUGGGUGUAAAGGGAGCGCAGGCGGGCGAUCAAGUUGGAAGUGAAAU
rnacentral:rRNA from 1 species